GUCGCCGUUUGCGCGAGCGCUCCGCGGAGCACCUGCAGUGCCGGCAGCCGCUUCUUAGAGGGACCAGCGACACUUUCGCAAGCCGCACGAGAAAGAGCAAUAACAGGUCUGUGAUGCCCUUAGAUGUACGGGGCUGCACGCGUGCUACACUGACGGCGUCAGCGUGCGUUCAAGCCCGGCCUGGCAAGGCCAGGAAAUCGGUUGAAACGUUCUCGUGACUGGGACAGGGAAU
rnacentral:rRNA from 1 species